rnacentral:rRNA from 1 species
AGUGAACGCUGGCGGUAGGCCUAACACAUGCAAGUCGAACGGCAGCACAGUAAGAGCUUGCUCUUACGGGUGGCGAGUGGCGGACGGGUGAGGAAUACAUCGGAAUCUACUUUUUCGUGGGGGAUAACGUAGGGAAACUUACGCUAAUACCGCAUACGACCUACGGGUGAAAGCAGGGGAUCUUCGGACCUUGCGCGAUUGAAUGAGCCGAUGUCGGAUUAGCUAGUUGGCGGGGUAAAGGCCCACCAAGGCGACGAUCCGUAGCUGGUCUGAGAGGAUGAUCAGCCACACUGGAACUGAGACACGGUCCAGGGUCCUACGGGAGGCAGCAGUGGGGAAUAUUGGACAAUGGGCGCAAGCCUGAUCCAGCCAUACCGCGUGGGUGAAGAAGGCCUUCGGGUUGUAAAGCCCCUUUGUUGGGAAAGAAAAGCAGCAGGUUAAUACCCCGCUGUUCUGACGGUACCCAAAGAAUAAGCACCGGCGAACUUCGU